CGCCGUAUUAUCCUUUCGGCCCAAGCUUACCUAUGCUAGCGUGUCACUUGUAUAAAAAAAUGUCUUUUAACAUUUUCGGUCUCUACUCUUUAACAUUAAAUAACGUUACCUAAUCAAUAGAUUAAUCCACGUCUUAUGUGUUGGGUCUCCACUAUUUUUAAGUGGAGAGGCUUUUUCUUGGUCCGUCUCAAGCUCAUGAUACUAUUGUAUACACCAUGGUAUCAAAACAAAAACAAUCAAUUAAUCUCCCUUCCUCUCUACCUUUUGAUAUGUUUCUUAUUGGUUCAGUGACUUCAAUCAAUCCGAGAUAGAAGUUCUAAACUAUUAAAGACUGUAGUUGAGAAACACUAGAAAAAAACAUUAUAAGAAAUCAUGAUAUAUAUAUAGACCGAUUGUUCAAAACUAAUAAUAUUUGGUUUCUCUUAUAUGUUAAAAAAAUCUCUAGCAAAGAGAGAAAUUAAAAAUAAAAAUCAAGUCUAGACAAAAGAAUAAAAUAGUGAUGAAAUGGUUUCAACUGAAAACUUAAUCAUGCUCUACGAAUAUUGUAAUCACCUCAUUACCGCUUAUAACGCACAACCAUCAAUAUAUAUGUUAGCUACAAUUAGCUAGCUAGUGUUGACCGCAUGUAUAAAACUUAGUCUUCUUAUAUGAGUUAGGUAAACUUUAUAACUACUCCGCUUGCCAUUCAAGGUAAGGAAAGCUCUAAAAAGACAGCAAGAACCCUGGAAAUAUAGGGAGGUCUUCGGAUAUAUCAAGAUUUGUGGAGAGAAGAAGAUAAUCUCUCUAAAUAAUUCCCUCAAGAAUCAUAAAAACACACAAUUCAUACAGCAUUAAUACUGAGACAAGGCCAAAGGGAUAGGUAAUUCACCAAAUAUUUGUAGGAAACUCUCCUACCCUAUGUUUGCUGGCAAGUUCAUAGAUAUGAGGUUCUCAUACGACAAACAAAUUGAACCGUGUAUGAGAUCUGAGAAUUUGACCCAAACAAUGAACAUACAAAAGUCUCAUAUAUUACCAGAGAACUAAAAUAGGGUUAGGAUGUCAAACAUGGGUCUAGUCAUACCCACAAAUAUCGAUAUAGCCUGCAAAUGCCGACUAAAAUACAUGGAAAAUACAAGUAAAGUAUACAAAGAAGUACAAAAUAUAGUAAUAAAUAUACAAGUACUGGUAGAAUAGUAUAAGCAAUAUAUACAAAAUAAAUCUUGAAUGAUUACGUGAUUAAGCCGUUUGAUUUUUUUUUAACAGAAUUUAGUUAACACACCACAUAAAAGUUCAUAGAAUGGUGAGCGUUAGCCGUAGAAAAAAAUUAGAUAUGGUAGUAGAAUAACAAUGGACACACUGAUGCUUUAAUUAUAUUUGAAAUAGUUGGUCCAAUGGUCCUUCUAUUUGUUUAAAUAACUGUACUGCUCAUACAUAACAUACAAAUAUAAAUAUUUUUUUCUAAUAGAAAAAUAGUCUUUGUCCAACUAUCUUUUUCUAAGACAGCCCAAUCUUGUAGAUUUGAAAGAUAGAGAAUUGUGGUCCUAUAUAUACCAAAUAGAGAACGAUCAUCCAUGGACAAAUGCACUAUGUAUAUAUUAUUUUACAUAACCAUGAUUUUCUGAAUCAUUAUACAUACACAAUUUAAUAUGAAAAUUUGGAUAUAAGUAAUAAGUAAUAACUAAUAACUAAUCCUCAAAGUUAGUCCACUAGAGAAAUUAAAUGUUAAAACUUAAAAGUAAGGUAUCACCAAACACAAACGCCAUACGUCGUACUCGGUGCAGGUGCGGCAACAGAUUGUGUUGAUUCUGAUAACAUUUGAUGUUGGUAGACGCUAAUCAGUUUUAAUGAGAUAUUAGUCGGAUUGGAAUUUUGCGAAUAUACAUAAGGUUCAUCAAGCAUGUCUACUAAGAGAAAAACUAGAGAAAUUCAAAUCAAGAAAGUGAAUUACUAAUCUAACGUUAAAGGAAUCAAGCAUCGCGUUGUUCUAACGUUACAAUGAACAGUUUUUUUAACUCAUAAGAUUUCCUUUACACUUUAAACAACUACAUAAUUAAAUGAUUUAAAACUUGAGCGGAGUUCAAUUUGGACACUCACACGAUGUGGCUUUCUAUGGUUUUUUCUUCUAGAAUAAUGUAUUUGAAAAGUAUAUUGAUUAACGAAUUUCCACAUUUAUAUCAUACACUAAGAAAAACUUAUACAUACUUUUAUGUGAAGAUUCAUGUGAGAUCGACAACUGCCCGAUCGGCCAAUCUUAAGGCUUCUUUCGUUGCAUCAAAUCUUAAUUUUUUAAAUCAUGUACAUUUCUAUUAUAUUAAGGAACCAAAAGUACCUUUAUGUCACCUUAAUAUAAUAUUUAUUCCCAAAGUAUACAAUUCCUUUUGAUUUAAUAAAGAGGAAAUUCACGUAGACAGUCACCACCAUUAUCGCUUCCCAUAGGAACUAUUUUAUUUAAGAUAGAGCAGACAUUGAAACAUUAAAAUAAUAAUCCCCAAAAAAAUAUUGACACUGUAACUAAACCUAUCAAUAAAAUAAGAUAAACAAAAAACAAACAAAUUAAUCCAGUAAUGGGCUUGAGUUUGUGUUGUGGUUUAUCAUCAUUAUUUACUUAUUUUGUUUCAGGCGUCCUCAAGGAUGGUUCAAGAAACUAGAGACGAAGCAGCAGCAAGUAGCAACCAAGAGUAAGAAAAAGGAUGGAGAAGAAAAUAACUGGGAGAUGCCUGAUGGACAUGUACCUUCUUGGACACGGUUUCAGUAAAUAGGUCCCCAUCCUUUUUUGGUUUAGGGCCAAAACUUUAGGUAGCGUUGCUUUAGGGGGGGCGACAUUUCGGUUUCUUUGUUGGGUUUCGUGGGCUGUAGUAAAUCCCAUGACUAUCUGUUGCGUGACUCUCUCAAUGGGCUCUCAGAUCAUAAGCCUACUUUUGAACCAAAACAUGUUAAGGUAUCGAUCCAAGUUCAAGGUUAUAGAUUCAACUCUAUCUACGGCUUGAUUAAGUUGAUGAUUCGAUCUCAAUCUUGACAAGUGAAAACGCACACAAACAAAUCAACACAAGAGAGAUGUUUACCAGCUAUUACAAGCGCAUACACAAAGAACUAACAGGAGAAGAUUACGUCAGCGACUAUGGAGAUGACAAUCUUUCAACCUCCGAUACCGUAGCUUGAACCAAUGCUUGGCGACUUCAAGAGCUGCGAUCAACUACCAGAUCUUCUCUGAUCUUAGUCUAGCUUUCCCUUCCAGCGUCUGUAAUCUCUCCCUCCUCUCUCUCUGUGUAAAAAACUCGUUCUCCUCUGUAUCGAUGAGCAAGACCAUGAUCGUAAUGGGUCCCCCUUUUGUAACAACCUUGUGAGCUGAACUUUUAAGUGAUCUUCAGCCUGUUCGGCCCAUAACUCC